rnacentral:lncRNA from 1 species
CAGGUUCCGGGGAUUAGGAUGUAGACAUCUGUGGGGAGGGGGCAAUCAUUAUUCUGCCAGCCAGAGGAAGUUUGUCCACAUUGUGGGGAUUUCUAUGCCAACAGAAAUAUCAACGCUGUUUGCACUAUAAUUUACUUUUUGAGCUUCUGACAUUUACCCAGCUGACUGUCUUUGGAGAACAAUCUCUUGACUGAGAAGCACUCUAGACAGUUUUCAAAGUUGAGAUUUCCUUAUUACUUCAGUUAGCAACUAAGUGUUGAGUGUCUACUGUUUGUCUGUCCAUGGAUGAUCCACUUCUCAGGCAUGGGGGCCAUGUGGCUUUAAUCUCUGUGUGCGGAGCUCCAAGCUAAGGGACUGGCACAGCACACCAAAUAGGUAAGUAUUUGGCAAAUGAAUGCAGGAUGGCAGGGGCCAGCAGAUAUUAGAUUAAAGAAGAUUU